GACGAACCGUGCGACCGUUGUUCGGAAUCACUGGGCUUAAAGGGCGCGUAGGCGGCCCGCUAAGUCGAACGUGAAAUCCCCGAGCUCAACUCGGGAACUGCGUCCGAUACUGGUGGGCUUGAAUCCGGGAGAGGGAUGCGGAAUUCCAGGUGUAGCGGUGAAAUGCGUAGAUAUCUGGAGGAACACCGGUGGCGAAGGCGGCAUCCUGGACCGGCAUUGACGCUGAUGCGCGAAAGCCAGGGGAGCAAACGGG
rnacentral:rRNA from 1 species